UGGUGGCGCCGGAUGCCAAGCUCAGGCUAGUGAGAGCCAAGGGUGCCACGCUUGCUACCAGUCGGUCUUCGUUCGUCUUCAGAACAAGUCGCAACCAUGAAGAAUAAGGCGUUGUUGUCGCUGCUUUUGGCUAUGAUGGUGCUCUUCGCGCGCACCUCGGCCUGGGACCUCUUUGGUGCCGGCGAUGACGAUGACGACGAUGACGAUGAUGAUGAUGAUGAUGACUUUGAUGAUGAUGAUGAUGAUGAUGAUGAUG